UAAUCUCAUACAUAACACAUAAGACCCUCUGGUCUACACAAUAUACCACUCUAGGUAACGUAUAGUGAGAAGACUCACCUCGGUGUCUCGGUAAGUGUCUGACUCGGUAGAAAUGUGAUCUAGCCUCCGCCUAAUCACAUAAAGUAAAUACUCUCAUAAAUACAAUUGUACUCAACCCUAAAAGUCAACAAGGUCAAAGGUCAAACUUUGACCCGCCUUGUCGAGUGCACUAGGGUGGCUCGGCGAGUCUACACGUUUCCACUGACUCUCUUACUUCCUCUCUUGGCACGUCGAGUACUCCCCUGACUCGACGAGUUCCACCUGGCAUGAAUCGCGGGGCUACCCCGACUCAACUCGCCGAGUCUCAAGAACAACUCGGCGAGUUUCGCCUUGAACUCCAGUCCCCCUGACUCUCCCUGACUCACCGAGUUAUUCCCUAACUCGGCAAGUCCACUCACUGAGUGAUUUACGGGAAACCUUCAUACUACUCGUCGAGUUUGUUCUUUGGACUCAGCGAGGUCAUGCCAUGCACAACCUCCAUACAACUCCUGAGGUCAUAUCUGUUCCAUAUAUUCAUAGAUCUGGCCUCCCCAAGAAUGAUAAUCACGUAAAGUUCAGACCUUAACACUCAUAUAACAUCUAAAUGGUCCAAAAUGAUGAUUUAGCCCCAAAAAUGACAUCCCAAGCUCAUGGCUCCCAAAAUGACUCAUAAAGCUCCAAGGGUUAAGGUCUCUGGACCUCUUUGGGUCCAGAUCCAGAACAUAUACUCGAGAAGGGACCAAAUGCUCCACUUAUUCAUCCUCUAAAAGGGCUAGAAAACCCUAACACUAAGAAUCAACAUCAAAACUGAAGAAGGUCUGAGCAAAAUACCUCAAUAUGAUCUCUAAGAAUUUAGAAAUCGCCACAAUCGCUCCUCCUUCAGCCUCCUCUUGCCUUGGUCACCUUCUUCUUGCAAAAACACCUACAAAAGGAUCAAGAAUGGCCUCUCCUUCCUCACAAACGCUCUAGAUCUCUUAGGGUUUCUCUCUGGGGGUUGGUGGCCGCAAAUGACGGCCCUACGGGCCUUUAAAUAGGUCCCAAACCCUGGAAAUUAAGGUUUCAUUAAAUAGCGUGGACUUGCCGAGUCCACUCAUGAACUCGCCGAGUCCAGCUGUGAACUCGCAUCCGAAUUCGCGACCAUACUCGAUGAGUUUAUACGCCAACUCGCCGAGUCUCCUCACAAUUCCCAAAAAUACAAGAACAAACUAGGAUACCUGGGAAUCCGGAUGUAACAAUUCUCCCCUACUAGAAUCAGACUUUGCCCUCGAAGUCUCACUCUACAAACAACUUUGGAUGCUGCUCCCACAUCUCACGCUCCGGUUCCCAAGUCAACUUUAACCCUUUCCGAUGCUGCCACUGGACCUGCACCAGNNNNNNNNNNNNNNNNNNNNNNNNNNNNNNNNNNNNNNNNNNNNNNAUCGCCACCGGUCUCUCAACAUAAUUCAGGCUUGCAUCCACCUGAAUAUCUUCUAAUGGCACCACUGCCGACUCGUCGGCUAUACACUUUCGCUGCUGCGACACGUGGAAAGUGUCAUGAAUCUGACCCAACUCUGCCGGCAAUUCCAAGCGAUAGGCUACCCUACCUACCCUCGCGAUCACCCUGAAAGGACCAAUAUAUCGGGGCCCCAACUUGCCCUUCUUCCUGAAUCGGAUCACUCCUUUCCAAGGAGAGACCUUCAGGAGCACAAAGUCGCCAACCUGAAACUCGAUCUCGGAUCGGCGUCUGUCCGCAUAACUCUUCUGACGACUUUGAGUGGUCAAAAACCUCUGUCUGACCUGCUAGAUCUGCUCUGUCGUCUGAAGCACAAUCUCGGUACUACCCAUCACACGCUGCCCUACCUCUCCAUAGCAAAUAGGGGUCCGACACCUCUUCCCAUACAACAGCUCAAAGGGCGGCAUGUCAAUGCUUGAAUGAUGGUUGUUGUUGUAAGAAAACUCUAUCAAGGGCAAAUACGUGUCCCAACUCCCACCGAAAUCCAACACACAUGCUCGGAGCAUGUCCUCGAGCGUCUGGAUCGUCCGCUCACUCUGCCGAUCAGUCUGUGGGUGGUAUGCGGUACUAAAAUGCAGUUGCGUACCCAAUUCCUCAUGAAACUUCUUCUAGAAUCUGGAAGUGAAACGUACAUCUCGAUCUGAGACAAUCGAGAUCGGCACUCCAUGCCGCGAUACCACCUCUCUCACGUACACCUCUGCCAACUUCUCCGCGGAAGAGCUCUCACUGAUGGCCAGGAAGUGAGAACUCUUUGUCAACCUGUCCACAAUCACCCAAAUUGCAUCGACACCCCUCGCAGUCCUUGGCAAUUUGGUGAUGAAAUCCAUAGUAAUAUGUUCCCAUUUCCACUCGGGAAUCUCUAAUGGCUGCAGCUUACCAUGUGGACGCUGGUGGUCGGCCUUCACCCUGCGACAGGUCAAGCAUCUCUCUACAAACCAUGCGACAUGCCUCUUCAUACAUGGCCACCAAUAUUCCUUUUUCAUAUCCAAAUACAUCUUAGUGGCCCCGGGAUGGAUCGAGAAUUUCGAUCAAUGAGCCUCUUCCAUCAAAAUGGUAUGCGUCCCGCCCACGAACGGUACCCAUAUCCGACCCUGAAAUGUCAUAAGCCCCCGGCUAUCAGUAACGAAUUCCGAUACCAGCCCAACAACUCGCUCUCUCUUCUGGCUUUCUGGCCUCACAGCCUCAGCCUGGGCCCCACGGAUAGCAUCCAACACCGGGGGGUCAUCACUGUCAAUCUCAAACAAACAUCCCACAAUGGGGCGCCCUCCGCCCUUUGACUCAGUGCAUCAUCUACAACAUUAGCCUUGCCCGAGUGGUACAGGAUCUCACAAUCAUAAUCCUUGACCACGUUCAACCACCUCCUCUGGCGCAUAUUCAGGUUGGUCUGAUCCAUCAAAUACUUCAAGCUCUUGUGGUCCGUGUAUACCAUACACCGAACCCCAUACAGAUAAUGUCGCCAGAUCUUGAGUGUGAACACUACCGCUCCCAGUUCCAAAUCAUGAGUGGGAUAUCUCGACUCAUGAGGCUUAAGCUGCCUCGAUGCAUACACUAUCACAUACCCCCUCUGCAUAAGCACCGCUCCCAAUCCGAAUAUCGAUAUGCAUCACAAUAUACCACAAAAUCCUCCAUCCCUUCCGGAAGAGCUAAUACUGGGGCCUCGCAUAAUUUCUGGCGAAGUGUCUCGAAUAAGGUCUGUUGCUCUGGACCGCAAGAAAACGUUGCACCCUUGCGGGUCAACAUGGUGAGUGGCACAGCGAUCUUAGAGAAAUCCUUAAUAAAUCUCCGAUAAUAGCCGGCCAAUCCCAGAAAGCUCCUGAUCUCGGUGGGUGAUCUCGGCACCUCCCACCUCAUGACUGCCUCAAUCUUGGCCGGAUCGACCAAUAUCCCAUUUUGGUUAAUGAGAUGCCCCAAAAAUUGAACUUCUCGCAGCCAAAACUCACAUUUGGAGAACUUGGCAUAAAGCCUCUCCGGUCUCAAAACUCCGAGGAUCUCCCUCAAAUGCUCCUCAUGCUGCUCUCUGGAUCUCGAAUACACCAAUAUGUUGUCGAUGAACACGAUCACUGAGCGAUCCUACAUCGGUCUGCACACUCUGUUCAUGAGAUCCAUAAACGCCACCGGUGUGUUGGUGAGUCCGAAAGGCAUCACCAUGAACUCGUAAUGCCCAUAACGAGUCCGGAAUGCUGUCUUCUGGACGUCCUCCUCUCGCACCCUCACCUGAUGAUACCCAGACCUCAAAUCGAUCUUGGAGAACCAAGAUACUCCCUGCAACUGAUCGAACAAAUCGUCGAUCCUCGGCAACGGGUAACGGUUCUUGACUGUUAGCUUGUCCAACUCCCGGUAAUCAAUGCACAUCUGGUGUGAACCAUCCUUCUUCUUGACAAAAAGAAUAGGCGCUCCCCAUGGUGAACUGCUCGGCUGAAUAAACCCCUUCCCCAGCAGCUCCUGGAGCUGCUAGGAUAACUCCUGCAUCUCAGGAGGCGCAAGGCGAUAAGGCGCCUUGGCGAUAGGCGCGGCUCCCGGAACCAAUUCAAUACCGAACUCCACUUGCCUCUCCGAAGGCACUCCCGGCAACUCCUCUGGAAACACAUCCGGAAACUCACGCACUAUCGGGACCUCAUCAACUGACCUCGGUCUCUCUGAAUCAACCCUCGCAUCCAUCACAUAUGCCACAAAUCCCCUACAGCCCUGCUGUAGACUCUGUCUCGCUCUGGCGGCCGAACAAAAUGCUGACCCAGCACGUGUACCCUCGCCGUACACCGUAAGAACUCCCCCACUAGGGUCUCGAAUCGUCACCAAUUGACACUCGCAUUCUAUCAAAGCUCCAUAUCGGCUCAACCAAUCCAUACCCACUAUAACACACACGUCCCCCAUCGCGAUCGGAACCAGAUCUAUCGGAAACUCCACACCGAAGAUCUCAAGAACACAUCCUCGAAUCACAUCUGAAGCAUACACUGCUCGCUCAUCAGCUAUAGAAACUCGCAGAGGUCGAUCCAACGCCUCUCGACAGAUACUAAUAUGCUGACUAAAUGCUAAGGAAACAAACGACCGACUCGCACCCGAGUCAAAUAAUACCAAAGCAGGCACAAAACUCACAAGAAAAGUACCUACGCAUAUCAUCAUAUAAGCAUAAAAACUCAACUGAAAUAAAAUAUGAAUAGAGAAUACAUACCAGCCACAACAUCGGGCGCCGCGCGGACCUCCUCCUCAAUCAACUGAAAUGCUCUCCCACGAGCCUUCGGGGCCUCGGCCUUCACCGGCCGAACCUCGGUAGCCCUAGCAGCAGGCGCAGAUCCCUGCGCUGACCCCUAAAGAAGCUGUGGGCACUUGGCCUUCCGAUGGCCAAUCUGGUUGCAAUGAAAGCAAACCGAAAAUCCCUUGGGGCAAUCCCUCGCGAUAUGCCCCUCCUUCCCACACUUGUAGCAUACCCCAGCCCUGCACGACCCCUCGUGACUCUUACCGCACUUCCUACAAGUGCGGCCCUUUGUGCCCCCAGAUCUCGAAUCUGCGAGUCUAGCCCGCUUGGCUGCCGGCUGAGACUGAGUCGGUCGCCGAUCUGCCCUCUGUGACUCGGCCUCCUCCCUGGCCUGAGUCUCCAACUUAAUCUCCCUCUUCCGGGCAUUUUCUUGGAGCUCAGCAAAUUUCCGGUAAGUUGAGUUCGCCACGAACUCCCGAAUGUCUCUCCUCAGCACACUCAGAUAACGGCUCAUACAAGCUUGCUCAGAUGACACCUGCUCGGGGCAAAACAUCGCCCUCUCAUGAAACUUCCUGGUGAUCACUGCCACAGAAUCGGUACCCUGCUUGAGGGUCAAGAACUCCUGAAUCAACCGUUCCCUCUCCACCGGGGGAGCAUACUCCUCUCUGAACAUAGCGGUGAACCUCUCCCAGGUCACCUCUGAAAUCUCAGCCAAAGUGAAGUUCGCUGUCACGAACUUCCACCACUCCUUCGCUCCCAGGCGGAGCUGGUUCAGGGCGAACUGAACCCUCAAGUGCUCUGUACAAGAACAUGUAUAGAAACAUCCUUCUAUGUCAGAGAUCCAUCUCAUAGCGGAAAUCGGGUCCUGCGUCCCGUCGAACUCUGGUGGCUUCGUGUUGCUGAACUCCCGGAACAACAACGAGCACCUCCCUGAGGCCUGGCAGCAACAACAGCAGCAGUAGCUGUAGCUGUAGCAGCCUCAGUCAGUGUGGCAUACCGCUCAUCAAAAGUCUCAGUCAAUGUGGUCUUGAUGUCCCCAAACAUCUCAGGAAUCUCAGCCCGGAUGGCAGCAGCCACCUCCUCGUGAAUCAAUCGACGGAUCUCCUCGUCACUGACACUACUGCUCUCAGGUGUGUGUCAAGUCCCAACCAUGAUGCCUCUGAAAUACAACAAAAAUUAUCAGAGACUCGAUCGAGCAUACACAUGCCCGAUGAUGCAACCCUACUUGUCCUCCGUUGUCCAAAAGAUUCUUACUUGGAAUGCCCACUGAUCCGGUGUCUUCAGUAGUACGGGCCCAAUACUACUGACCACACCGCAUCAGCAUUCACUCCAAGUCCUCCUCCUUGGAUCUUGGAUUACAAGUACUCUAUUCUCAUGAGCUCCUAACUGCUAUCUACUCGCUCUCAAAGCAUCUCAGCAGCAGAAAUCUCCUAGGCUAAGGCAUCACAAAUCAGGCCACUCUAGUCCUAAUAUGUAUACCUAGCCUACUCUAGCAUGCAUAAUGUAACAUAACAUAUCUCAUAACACAUAAUGUAAGGGUACUUUUGGGGAUUCACCGUUCGGGCGCUGGCUGAUCGUACACACGGCUCUGCUCUGUUUGUCUCAAAACUCUUUUUACUCUUUUCAAAAAUUUUACUUCAUUAUCAAAAUUUUCCUCAAAUCCUCAGUUUGAGUUCAGAUACGCCCGAAGAUGCAUCCGAAUCCCUCAAACCAAGGCUCUGAUACCAUCUUGUAACAACGUAAAUUUUCAAAAUAAUUUUUCAUUUUUAAAACAUUCAUUCAUUCAUAAAAUAAUGUCAAACACAUUGUAUCAAAUGUUAUUAUCACAAAACAUCUCCCCAGAAUCUCUACAAAAACUCCAAUGUGUGUGUGUACGAAUCAUGUCGGCGCCUUCCCGCGCUCAUCACUAGUACCUGAAACACAUAACACAACAACUGUAAGCAUAAAUGCUUAGUGAGUUCCCCAAAAUACCACAUACAACACAUACGCCACUCAAGGCUAUAAUACGACCUUCCGGUCGAUGUGUCUCAGCGGGACCCUCCAGUCCCGUAGCUCGUUGGACCCUCUGGUCCGGUCAUAGCUCGUUGGGCCCUCCGGCCCGGUCUGUAUCGUUGGACCCUUCGGUCCGGUCUAUAACAUCAUACAACAUACAUAUAACACAUAGCACAUAAUCUCAUACAUAACACAUAAGACCCUCUGGUCCACACAAUAUACCACUCUAGGUAACGUAUAGUGAGAAGACUCACCUCGGUGUCUCGGUAAGUGUCUGACUCGGUAGAAAUGUGAUCUAGCCUCCGCCUAAUCACAUAAAGUAAAUACUCUCAUAAAUACAAUUGUACUCAACCCUAAAAGUCAACAAAGUCAAAGGUCAAACUUUGACCCUCCUUGUCGAGUGCACUAGGGUGGCUCGGCGAGUCUACACGUGUCCACUGACUCUCUUAGUUCCUCUCUUGGCACGUCGAGUACUCCCCUGACUCGACGAGUUCCACCUGGCAUGAAUCGUGGGGCUACCCCGACUCAACUC
rnacentral:lncRNA from 1 species